rnacentral:lncRNA from 10 species
UAGUGGAGAUGGCCAGUAGGCUGCUGAACAUACAGUUCUGAAGUUUAUAAGCAAGAUUGUAACCUGAAGGGAUAAGAGAGCCCUGGAUAGAAUCCUGAGAAACACCUGUAUUUAAGAGCUGGACAACAGAAACUGGGGAGUGGCUAUGGAGUUCUGAGUUCUGACAUUAUAGAAGCCAAAGAGAGAACAUGCCUCAAGGAGGGCAUAGUCAGCAGCGUUAAAUCCUUCUAAGAGGAAGAAGGCACUAUGGAUGGUGGAGUAGAAGACAUUAAGAGAGACAGAGAGAACUGCAGAUUCAAGGUCUCUGAGAUGACAAGGGAUUGGAUCCAACACAAAAGUGGAACCCCUUUCUUGGCUGCAAGAGGAAGGAAGAUGGGCAGCGAUAACACUCUGGUUCUGACCUGGAAAAAAUAAGAGUGAGAAAGAGCAAGAGAAUCCUGCAGUCCUGACGCUCAACUUCACAAACCACAAAAAAGAACCUUUCUCCAGUAACGUAAUCAUGGAGAUUUCUGGCACCUUGGUCUUUCAAGAAAAAUACAUCCUUCUGCUGGCACAGGGACCCAUCAAACUAAACCCUAUUCAGCAUGGAGUUCCCGAUUCAUUAGUGUUGGAAAGUCUAUAGCGAGGCUGGCCGCUCCCAUUGGAUGAUGCCUCCCUGCAGCGCCGUCUGUAAACCCCACAGCUGUGUUUUCACUUAAAGCCACUUCUCCUGACUGCGCUGCACCUUGUUCCAGAGGCUUGCUCUGUUCUCAUUAAGGUUAAAAAUGACAGGACAAGGAUUCUUCAAUGCUGA